GGCCCCGUAGUUCAAUGGAUAGAAUAAGAGUUUCCUAAACUCCAGAUCUGAGUUCGAUUCUCGGCGGGGCUAC
rnacentral:tRNA from 1 species